UCUGUGCCAAAACUGAACAUACUGUUUUGAAGCCUAGUGGUGAGUGUGGCAGAGUCUGGCAUGAUAACCCUGUCCCAGUUACAGAACCUAAGAUCCGAGGAGGAUGCUCUGCCUUAUGUGGCUUUGAACUCUUGCACCCUUCUAAAGUCGUGAAUUAUUUGUCAGUGGACACAAAGCUCAAUCUAAAAGCAAGGAGGAAAAGCAACCUGCAGUGACUGGGUAGAGAAAAUGGCUCUCCGUUCCCAGGGAAGGAGAUGACUCACUGUGUACCGAUGCGUAAGGU